rnacentral:tmRNA from 1 species
GGGGGCGAAAGGUUUCGACGGGGGUGAGAGAAACCGGGGUAGCGUGUCGAGGUCUCCGGUUGGCCUCGUAAAAAAACCGGAAACAAUCAAGUGCCAACGAGCCUGCAUACGCACUGGCUGCCUAGAAAUAGGUAGUCGGCUCACCGGUGGCUACGGCCAUCGGCGUUCCCCCCGUUGUCGCCCGGGCUUCGGGAAGGAACGUCACUUACUGGGCUGGCCGUCUUCGCGGGCACCUUGCGGAACGGUAAGAUUUCAGGGUGCUGGCGUUGCUUCUGGCCUGCCUGUGGGCCUGGAGUGAGGCGAGACUUCAAACACAGAAUACACACGUAGAAACCCCGGUGGAUGCAUCUUCGGACCCGGGUUCGAUUCCCGGCGCCUCCACCA